UGGGGACUGAGAGGUGGAAGCCAGGAAAUCCUCUUAUGGAGAGAAAGGCAGCCUCAGGUGGACCUGCCCGGGUGAUGGCUUCAGAGAAGUAGAGAUGAGGAGAGGGGGUCCUCUUCAUGUGCGUGGAAAAAUGUCAGUGUAUAGGGUGUCCUAUAAGCCUGCAACCCCCACGGGAAAGCAGACAUCGCCACAGCUGGCUCCGCCCUGCAGCACAAACAGG
rnacentral:lncRNA from 1 species